rnacentral:rRNA from 1 species
UACGUAGGCAGCGAGCGUUGUUCGGAGUUACUGGGCGUAAAGGGUGUGUAGGCGGUUGUUUAAGUUUGGUGUGAAAUCUCCCGGCUCAACUGGGAGGGUGCGCCGAAUACUGAAUGACUAGAGUGCGGGAGAGGAAAGUGGAAUUCCUGGUGUAGCGGUGAAAUGCGUAGAUAUCAGGAGGAACACCGGUGGUGUAGACGGCUUUCUGGACCGUAACUGACGCUGAGGAGCGAAAGCGUGGGGAGCGAACAGG